AAAACAAAUAGUAACACAAUACCAAAAACUGCUAAGUAUAUUUAUUUAAAUAUAUAAAUUAAUUGUUUAAAAUGUGUUUCUGUUAAAUUUUCUGUAAAAACAAAGGAAACAAUAAUUUUUUGCAAAAAAAAAACACAAAUAAAAUUCGUAAGAAAGAAGAUUCGACACAAACUAUUGAUAUGAAGGAAAAAAACAAUACUGAAGAAAACUUACGUCUUGAAUCAAAAAACUUUCAAGACAAAUUGGCAAGGAUAACAGCAGAAAAAGUAACCGAAGUACAACAAAGUGGAGAAUCUGAAGAUCAACCUGUUGUGUCGAAUCAUGCAAUUGCAACCAUAAUAAUAAAGGAAAUUGAUGCAACAAACAUCGAAGUUAUAAAUUCUCCUGAAAGAAACUCUAGAUAGAUGUAUGAAAAACUAUGAAAAAUAUGUAAUACGGCACAUUGAAUGUUGAAGCUCGGAAAGCGUUAACAGAUUUCUACCGAAUAUGCUCAAAAACAUGAAUGGACCCCUAAACUCCGUAUGAUGUUAAUCGAACUAAGACACAAAAAAUAGGAGAACUUAAAAGGCAACAUAAAAAAUAUGUAAUUCCCGUAAAUAGAGUAAAUAAGUAAGACUGAAUACAUUUUAUUUUAUAUGAAUACUUUUUUAUUCUAGACUUAAAAUAUUUAAUAGAUUUGGUUUGAAUCAUGUCUUAAGAUUUUGUUAUUUUAUUUUAUUAUACAUAUAUUUA